rnacentral:rRNA from 1 species
AUUUAGUAGCGAAGUAGCUGAUUUCACACUGUCAAGAAAAGUCUCUAUCGAGGUUAAAGGUACCCGUACCGCAAACCGACCCAGGUGGGUGAGGAGAGUAUCCUAAGGCCAGCGAGAGAACUGUUGUUAAGGAACUCGGCAAAAUGACCCCGUAACUUAGGGAUAAGGGGUGCCACCAUCAGGUGGCCGCAGAGAAUAGGCCCAAGCG